GAUGAAGAACGCAGCGAAAUGCGAUAAGUAGUGCGAAUUGCAGAAUUCAGUGAAUCAUCGAAUCUUUGAACGCACAUUGCGCCCCUUGGUAUCCCGAGGGGCAUGCCUGUUCGAGCGUCAUUUCACCACUCAAGCCUGGCUUGGUGUUGGGCGACGUCCCCUUUGGGGACGCGCCUCGAAACGCUCGGCGGCGUGGCACCGGCUUUAAGCGUAGCAGAAUCUUUCGCUUUGGAAGUCGGGGCCCCGUCUGCCGGAAGACCUACUCGCAAGGUUGACCUCGGAUCAGGCAGGGAUACCCGCUGAACUUAAGCAUAUCAAUAAGCGGAGGA
rnacentral:misc_RNA from 1 species